GACGAACGCUGGCGGCGUGCUUAACACAUGCAAGUCGAACGGAAAGGCCCUGCUUUUGUGGGGUGCUCGAGUGGCGAACGGGUGAGUAACACGUGAGUAACCUGCCCUUGACUUUGGGAUAACUUCAGGAAACUGGGGCUAAUACCGGAUAGGAGCUCCUGCUGCAUGGUGGGGGUUGGAAAGUUUCGGCGGUUGGGGAUGGACUCGCGGCUUAUCAGCUUGUUGGUGGGGUAGUGGCUUACCAAGGCUUUGACGGGUAGCCGGCCUGAGAGGGUGACCGGCCACAUUGGGACUGAGAUACGGCCCAGACUCCUACGGGAGGCAGCAGUGGGGAAUAUUGCACAAUGGGCGGAAGCCUGAUGCAGCAACGCCGCGUGCGGGAUGACGGCCUUCGGGUUGUAAACCGCUUUCGCCUGUGACGAAGCGUGAGUGACGGUAAUGGGUAAAGAAGCACCGGCUAACUACGUGCCAGCAGCCGCGGUGAUACGUAGGGUGCGAGCGUUGUCCGGACUUAUUGGGCGUAAAGGGCUCGUAGGUGGUUGAUCGCGUCGGAAGUGUAAUCUUGGGGCUUAACCCUGAGCGUGCUUUCGAUACGGGUUGACUUGAGGAAGGUAGGGGAGAAUGGAAUUCCUGGUGGAGCGGUGGAAUGCGCAGAUAUCAGGAGGAACACCAGUGGCGAAGGCGGUUCUCUGGGCCUUUCCUGACGCUGAGGAGCGAAAGCGUGGGGAGCGAACAGGCUUAGAUACCCUGGUAGUCCACGCUGUAAACGGUGGGUACUAGGUGUGGGGUCCAUUCCACGGGUUCCGUGCCGUAGCUAACGCUUUAAGUACCCCGCCUGGGGAGUACGGCCGCGAGGCUAAAACUCAAAGGAAUUGACGGGGCCCCGCACAAGCGGCGGAGCAUGCGGAUUAAUUCGAUGCAACGCGUAGAACCUUACCUGGGUUUGACAUGGAUCGGGAGUGCUCAGAGAUGGGUGUGCCUCUUUUGGGGUCGGUUCACAGGUGGUGCAUGGCUGUCGUCAGCUCGUGUCGUGAGAUGUUGGGUUAAGUCCCGCAACGAGCGCAACCCUUGUUCACUGUUGCCAGCACGUUAUGGUGGGGACUCAGUGGAGACCGCCGGGGUCAACUCGGAGGAAGGUGGGGAUGACGUCAAGUCAUCAUGCCCCUUAUGUCCAGGGCUUCACGCAUGCUACAAUGGCUGGUACAGAGAGUGGCGAGCCUGUGAGGGUGAGCGAAUCUCGGAAAGCCGGUCUCAGUUCGGAUUGGGGUCUGCAACUCGACCUCAUGAAGUCGGAGUCGCUAGUAAUCGCAGAUCAGCAACGCUGCGGUGAAUACGUUCCCGGGGCU
rnacentral:rRNA from 1 species